AUGACGUCAAGUCCUCAUGGCCCUUAUGGGUAGGGCUUCACACGUCAUACAAUGGUCGGUACAGAGGGUUGCCAAACCGCGAGGUGGAGCUAAUCUCUUAAAGCCGAUCGUAGUCCGGAUCGUAGUCUGCAACUCGACUACGUGAAGUCGGAAUCGCUAGUAAUCGCAGAUCAGCAUGCUGCGGUGAAUACGUUCCCGGGUCUU
rnacentral:rRNA from 1 species